UUGCCAGCCGCCGCGGUAAUAACCGCGCCUCAAGUGGUAAUCACGUUUAUUGGGCCUAAAGCGUCCGUAGCCGGUUUGAUAAGUUUCUGGUGAAAUUCACUAGUAGACUAGUGAAAUUGCUGGAAAUACUAUCAGGCUUGAGACCGGGAGAGGUUGGGAGUAUUCCACGGGUAAGAGUAAAAUCUUUUAAUCCGUGGAGGACCACCUGUGGCGAAGGC
rnacentral:rRNA from 1 species